rnacentral:rRNA from 1 species
CUCACCUACGGGGGGCAGCAGUGAGGAAUAUUGGUCAAUGGGAGAGAUCCUGAACCAGCCAAGCCGCGUGAGGGAAGACGGCCCUAUGGGUUGUAAACCUCUUUUGUCGGAGAACAAAACCCGGGACGUGUCCCGGACUGCGUGUAUCCGAAGAAAAAGCAUCGGCUAACUCCGUGCCAGCAGCCGCGGUAAUACGGAGGAUGCGAGCGUUAUCCGGAUUUACUGGGUGUAAAGGGAGCGUAGACGGCGGAACAAGUCAGAAGUGAAAACCCGGGGCUCAACCCUGGGAGUGCUUUUGAAAAUGU